CAAACGCACGACGACGCUACACGCAUUCAUUAUUUGCCGACUCGGGCAAUACAUGACACCACGGUUUCAGCAAAAGGAGCCUGCGUCUACCGCCACCUGUUGUUUCCCAAUGGAUCCAACUUCACGUUCCUCAACCCCUGCGAGAUGGUCAUUUGCAACGCACGCAAACGUAUGGUCUACUUCAAGCGGUGCCCCAAGGUGAUCUGUCCUCACUGCGACAGCCUCUGUCACGUCGUGAAACUGAAGGGCUCUUAUCCGAACUGCUGCGAGCAGGUCGUCUGCGAUACGCA